UACGUAGGCAGCGAGCGUUGUUCGGAGUUACUGGGCGUAAAGAGUGCGUAGGCGGUUGGCUAAGUUUGGUGUGAAAUCUCCCGGCUCAACUGGGAGGGUGCGCCGAAAACUGGCUGGCUGGAGUGUGGGAGAGGCUAGCGGAAUUCCGUGGUGUAGCGGUGAAAUGCGUAGAUAUCAGGAGGAACACCUGCGGUGUAGACGGCUGGCUGGACCACUACUGACGCUGAGGCACGAAAGCGUGGGGAGCAAACAGG
rnacentral:rRNA from 1 species